AUCGUUUAGAUUGUAAAAAAAUUGAAAAUAAUAACGGGGCCUCGGCGCGAGCCAAACAACAGCCCCGAUAGCUAUCUUUGGGGGGUUUGCAGGAGACGUAAGCGCCAGUGAUACAUAUUUGUACGUUUUGGUACAAUAUUGCGUUCCAGAUUAAUAAACAAAUGUGAAGCUAGCUAAAUACCCACAGUACAACAGGUAAAUAGCUAGUAUACUAGGCUAGCUAAUGUUACCGAGCAGUGUGUGCGACGUAAUCAACAACCCCGUGUCAUUUCCAAAACAGAGCGCGUAUUCUGAUAAGAUUUUUGGUUUGUGUAUACCAUUUUUAAAAUUUGAUCUAACAUGCAAAACAUUUGCUUUAUUCCAGUAGUUGAACGUAUAUUUAAAAUGUAAAUCAACUCACCAAUUACGCUCCAAUUUUUCGGGGCGGCUGUACUGUAGUUUACUUUUUCCACCCCUCCUCUUCCUCCUCCCACUGAAAACAAACAAGAUGGCAGCAACCAUUUUUGGUCUCUUGCACUGAGAAGCCCCUGACUGCAGUGUGCAGUUCUGGGCAGGGCUCAAUAUGGGCGGAGUCAAACGUCGGGGCCGGGUUCAAUGUGGGCGGGGUCAUUAUUCGGGGCCGGGCUCAAUGUGGGCGGAGUCAAACGCGUUUAACCAAAACCUUUCCUGGUCUCUUUCAAGGUCACCCAAGUUCUUAAUCGAACCUGACCUACAUGGAUAAAAAUAUAAACCAUGGAAGAAAACAUGCAGCAAAUUAGGCCAUGGUGGCACCUAGUUCUGCAGAACUUUCCCAUGCCUCACUAAGGUCUGAAGAAGAGAGGUUGAAAGAUCGAAAAAGCGGCAAAAACAAAACGCACUACAGGAUGAUGUAGAAGACGAAACCCCCCGAGAAGUCACAGCAUGUCACUUCAGCAUCCAGCUCUGCAGGAUCAGGUGAUACUGAAAACAAGAUGCACGGAAGCAGAUGUUCUUAUAAGGGACACCUUAGAGGCAGCAAGGUAGUGGAAACUCCAAACAUUUAAAGCCACUGUUUCCCUCCCCAGUGUAAUUGGGAUGGACAGGGAAGACUCCAUUACAACCCUUAAAGGACCUCGGUUGUAUGAUGACCUGGAUGAAGAGGAAAAUAUUCUCAAGGAACCAUUCAUGUUACAGAGAGAUUGAGAUGUUCUAUGUGGAGGCAGUUGACAACAAGAACAUUACUGUCUUUGCCUCUUGAGGAGCAGGAGUGAAGCCAUUUUUGAGGAGUGGUCAAACCUUGUUUUUGUCUGCUGUGUCAAUUGUUUCAAUUGUUAAUUGUGUUAAGUUGUUUAGUAAAGAUGAUGUUGAAGUCACAGGAGUCUCUGAUCUCUGUACUGGAUAACUUAAUGUACAAAGCACAUUCAGCUUGUCAGUAUGUCUAUAUGGUAUAGUCUGUCUCCAUUCUCAUGAGGAAAGUAAAUAACAUUAUAAAUAAGGAUAGGUAGUAACUGUGUGUGUGUGUAUAUAUAUAUGUAUAUAUAUAUAUAUAUAUAUAUAUAUAUGCUCAAUGAAAUAAUAUAAGUUAUAACAUUUAUCAACACAAUUUUAACAGUACAUGACAUGCAUAACAAGUCUGUUGUUCACUGCAGCAAUAUCAGUAACUUGUCUCAUAGCAUGAAGCACAAAGUGUUGCAACACAUCUGCUGGUACCACUUUAUAUAAUAUUUCUUAAGAUCUUCAAAAAUGAAAUAUGUUUUCUAUUCAACGUGUGUGUUUGUAUUCAGUGUGUAACCGUCAAACCUCAGACAAAAAAAUGUAGAGCCUGGCCCGAAUUGCACACUGCAGUCAGGGGUACUUGGCUUCCACCUGCAAGUAUGGGUAACUGCAUAUGUGGGUGUGUCAUCAGAAGUGGGAGGAUCAACAGCGAUAGGCGUUACAUCAACCAUGUGAAACAAGGUUGGGAGAGCUAAGUCACUCUAUUCUUAAUAUUAUGAGAAUCAUACUGUGGCUUUUGAAUGUUAACAAAACACAACAAACUGCUAACUAAAUAUGAAAAUAAAAGUAAUUUUUAAGUCGGU